AUACUUACCUGGCCAGGGAGGAACUGUGGCUUUCCUAGGGUGAGGCUCAUCCAUUGCACUCAGAUGUGCUGACGCUUCCGAUUUCCCCAAAUGCAGGAAACUCAACUGCAUAAUUUUUGGUAGGGGGGGACUGUGUUUGUUCCAGCUUUCU
rnacentral:snRNA from 1 species